AGCUUUGCGCAGUGGCAGUAUCGUAGCCAAUGAGGUUUAUCCGAGGCGCGAUUAUUGCUAAUUGAAAAAGUACAUGUAAGAUCAGUUUUGUAUUCUGUACUAGAGCAUAGGUGCUACUAUGACAGUGUUAUCAAUCC